GGGGCGAAAGACUAAUCGAACCAUCUAGUAGCUGGUUCCCUCCGAAGUUUCCCUCAGGAUAGCUGGCGCUCUCGCAGACCCGACGCACACCCCCCCCACGCAGUUUU
rnacentral:rRNA from 1 species